rnacentral:rRNA from 1 species
UACGUAGGGGGCGAGCGUUGUCCGGAAUCAUUGGGCGUAAAGCGCGUGUAGGCGGCCCGGUAAGUCCGCUGUGAAAGUCCAGGGCUCAACCCUGGGAUGCCGGUGGAUACUGUCGGGCUCGAGUCCGGAAGAGGCGAGUGGAAUUCCUGGUGUAGCGGUGAAAUGCGCAGAUAUCAGGAGGAACACCAAUGGCGAAGGCAGCUCGCUGGGACGUGACUGACGCUGAUGCGCGAAAGCUAGGGUAGCAAACAGG